rfam:Oryctolagus cuniculus chromosome 13, whole genome shotgun sequence.
GGUGCUGUGGCCUAGCGGGUAAAGCUGCCGCCUGCAGUGCCGGCAUCCUGUAUGGGCUCUGGUUCAAGUCCUGGCUGCUCCA